GAACUACUCCUUCCGUUCGGAAUUACUUGUCGCGAAAAUGGAUGUAUUUAAACGUAUUUUAGUUCUAGAUACAUCCAUUUCCGAGACAAGUAAUUCCGAACGGAGGAAGUACGAU
rnacentral:pre_miRNA from 1 species